rnacentral:lncRNA from 1 species
CUUUUAUCUGGAAGAUAGAUUGGGAAGAUGUCACUUCAUUUUUGCACAUUAUCAACAACUAUUUCUUGAAUGCUUACCCUACCUUGUAAGCACCACGUUAAAUGUCUUGUCUACCUGAGGUCACUUCAUCCUAAAAGUAUAUGUAGGACUUGUAAUUAGCCUUAUUUCCAUUUUUCAGAGGAGAAAAGCGAGAGGUGAAGUCCAUUUGCCCAAGGUUAGUGCCCAGCUGGUGCUCAGAGACAGAAUGCGGAUGCGGGUCUUUACCAUCCGGUGCUGUUCUGCACCUUUCCAGCUCAGCCUUCCUCAAGAUGCUUCCGCAGGAGACAUCAGGACUUCUGUUCCAGUGACCCAAUGGAUGUCACGGCAGAGAGCAUGGCAUCGUGGACAGACCACUGGAGAAUGGGCCAGGAGACCUCCCCCCUCCUCCAGUCAAACCCCCAACAUUCCCCGGUUCUCUGGCUCUGUGACAUCACAGCCUCCUCUCUUCUCUACCAGCUACAGGUGAGUGAGCCUCAAAGGUUAGACCUCAGAGCAGGACGGGGUCUUUUUUCUGUACUUAAAGGGACAAUGUCUCCAUCACGCCUGGACACCUUUGCUGCAGUGCAUCAUCUGGAACCUGCUUCAGACUCUGUCUCCCUGUCUCUCUGCCCCUAUUCCACUCAUGCUCUCUCUCUGUCUCAAAAAGAAAUAAAGCAUUAAAAAAGUGAGGUUCAAGAAAGUUAAGGAGUCUUCCCAAGAGCAUGGAUGCAGAAGUGGAGCUGAACACAAAUUGACCUAAAACGCGAGCAGACCCCUGUGCAUGAACCUGGAUGUUACGGUAGGGGGUCAUCUCUAGAGUGGGAAUACAGACAGAGCCCUAGUGCUUUCCACCCAGUCUUAUGUUUAUUUAGGAAACAGCCUUCCCCAGUCUUGCGUUGGGUUCAAAUUCAAGAUUAGCUGACUCAACAAGGUGCCCCUACAGGCAAAGCUGGUACAGU